rnacentral:lncRNA from 1 species
CCAAUAUCUACAUAAACUCGAAUAAUAUUAGAGAGAGAGUGUGAUAGAGAGUGAAUCAACUACAUCUACAAGAUACCUUAGUUUCCUCGAUAGAAUCUUUCAACUCCCGCAAACCCAUUGUCUUGUCUGCAUUUUUUUCAGGUGACAAGGUUCCAUUUACUGCCCCUGACACUGGAGUUUGCACACCAGAUGCCACAUCCGUCUGCAUUUUAAGAUUGACCAGUUUUCUUCUACUUUCUUCAAGUUCAGUCAUGCUUUCUUCCAGAUCACCUUUUAAGCAUAGNNNNNNNNNNNNNNNNNNNNNNNNNNNNNNNNNNNNNNNNNNNNNNNNNNNNNNNNNNNNNNNNNNNNNNNNNNNNNNNNNNNNNNNNNNNNNNNNNNNNAUGCAUAUGUUGAUAUGUAUGAUAAUAAAUGAGAUUGAUUAUGGACUAUUGACCAAUGUGAUUGGAUUUUAUUUUAGUUGGAUGCAUGAAUGCAUGAGUUUUAUUAAAUGGGAUCUGCGUACCUCGUCUUCUCUAAUUUUUCUUAAUGUAAAUUAUAUCUCCCUCCUCAGUACUUCCCUUAACUGUUGAUCAAAGAUUUAUUAUAAAUAGUUUUGUAAUAGGAAUAGUUAAAAUUAUUUUGAAGAAUUGGAGACCAAGAACCAAGGAGCGCUUGAAGACCUGUUUGUAAUAGAGCCCGGGAUUUAAAUGUAAUAGUUAUGUUUAAAUUUAAUUCGUGGACCCUAGGUUUAACCUUUUAGUUCACUUGGUGGCUCUAGUAAACCAAACUAGAAUAAAGUUCAUAAUCAAUCCGAGUAGAAUAUAGUAUUCUAUAUGUGCAUGCUUAUAUUAUAUAUUAUGCAAAAUGUUUCGCAUGUCAAUUAAUAUGACGCGUAUAUAUAUAUAUAUAUAUAUAUGCAUGCGCGCUAAACAAGAGAGACAAAGUAAUAACAAUCAUCUCAAAGAAAUUAUAUUAAGUUGUAACGUUCAAAGAUAUUUGGAAUAUUGAUAAAGCAAUAGAGUAUUGAAUAUUUAAUAUGAGUUUGUUGUGCAUACACAAAGGCUGUAAUUUUCUCUUCACUUAUAUGGAAAUGCUAAGUAUGACUUAACUUAGAUUAUUUUAGUUCGGAUGUGUACACACUUGACCAUUAUGAUCUAAGAGGCAAAAGAAAAGGAGUUACAUGUUAAUGUAUUUGACAAUAGUCGUCUACCUAUUUAUUUAUAUAUAGUUUGUUGUGCACACACAAGGCUAUAUACAUUUGAAAUGAGAUCCUUAAUCUCACUAGCAAAUCUUUAAUUAGAUUUUACCGAACUAUAUAAGUGAGGGUAAUAUAGUUUGAAGAAAAUAGUGGAAGAUACCAAUUUAAAACAAGACCUAAUUUAUUUUGGUAAUUAAUUAAUUAAAUGAAUUAAUUUGAAAAUUGAAAAUGUCAAACUCACUAAUUUCACUAAGUAGCAUACUUGAUGCUAACAAACUGAUCGGACCGAAUUAUACAGACUGGUUAAGGAAUCUGAGAAUUGUUCUCAUUGCUGCAAAGAUUUCUUAUGUCCUAAAUUCGUCUGUCCCUGCAACUGUUACAGAAACAGACUCUGAGGAAAAGAUUGCUACUUUUAAGAAGUGGCAAGAUGAUACAUCUGUGGUUCAAUGCAUCAUGCUCACAUCCAUGAGUAAUUAGCUUCAGCGUCGGCAUCAAACUAUGGAUGCUCCUACUAUGCUGCACGUCAAAGAUUUGUAUGGUGAGCAAGAUUAUCAAGGCACCAAGUCGAGGCAAAGCGACAGCCGGGAGCUUAAGCGCUUAGUCGACAAGGCGCCCGACUAGUUGUCCACAAGUUGACAAGUCGUUAACAAUGUAAAUUUUAUACGUAUAAAAUUAUAUAUAUUUAACAUUUAUAUAAAUAUUUAUAUAUUUAUAUUUCUAAUGAUUUAACAUAUUUAUAAUACAGGUUGUAGCAUAUCAAAUCACAAUAAGAAGCGAACAAGAUCAAGUCUAAAUGAUAAUUUUAUUAUAGUUGUAAUUUUUUGAACUUGUACCAAUUUCAAAUUAUGUAAAUGGUGAUACAUUUGUAAUAUUUAGUUUAAUUCAAUAUAAUUUUUAAAUUUAUGUUUAGUUUCUUAAGUUUUAACAUUGUAUAUAUAGAAUACCAUAAAUUCAAUACUAAGAAUUCAAUGCAUCACAUAUAUAAAAAAAAAAAAAAAUUGAUUAGCAGCCCUCAACAGAGGAGAAUAGACGUUACAAGAUUUUAAAUUUGGGUUCCUCUAAGGUAUCUUAAAUCUAAUCAUUUAUUCAGCAACAAAGCAUACCAAUUACCAAAUCAUAUAAAAAAUAUUUAGCAGCAGUGAACAAAGCAGAAUAGACAUUACAAGAUUAAAAAAAAUCCAUUUCUUACAAGAUUUAAAAAAAUCCAUUUUCUCUAAAUUUAUUGUAAGAUUUUAAAAUUGGGUCCCUCCAAGGUAUCUUAAAUCUAAUCAUUUAUUCAGCAACAAAGCAUACCAAUUAUCUUAAAAAAUAAAAAAUAAAAAUUUCACCGAAAUGAAAAAAAAUAAAAUCUAAUCAUUUAUUCAGCAACAAAGCAGAAUUGAAAGAAAAUAAAAGAAAAAAAAUUUGACCAGUAGCCAACAGAGCAAAAUAAACCGGAAAUAAAGAAAGAAAAAAAAUUAGGCAACAUGUCUGCAGAGCAAAGCAUAAUACCCAAAAAGAGGGAUAAAAGAAAGAAAAAAAAAGGUCGGAGUAGAAGAAAAGAAGAAGAGUAGAAGUAGAAAUAAAAAAAGAGUAGAAGAAGAAGCAUACCUGUAGAUCACGAGCUAUCGGAGCAGAUCGUGAGAUGUCGGAGUAGAUCGCUUACCUAUCGAUUGUCUUCGUCGGCGCUUGGCUCUUGCUUCUUUUCAUUUCUCACUCUCUGAUGAAGUACCGAAGUUGUGAGGGAUCGAAUUAGUUCAGUCGAACUUUAGGGCUUUCUAACCUAUUCGAAAAGUUGCCCGCUUCUCAGACUAGUCGUUCAACUCGUCCAAAUCGUCUAUUGAGCGCUUGACUUUAUGCUCUCCCACCAAGUCGUCCAGAAGCCUAGGAAUUUUUUACCGCCUUAACGCCUAGUCGCGACGAUUAGUUGACGACUUGACAAGCAUGAUGGUGAGCAAAGUAGGACUGCUAGAUAUGAGAUAUCUAAGGAGCUCUUUCGAUCUCGGAUGACCGAGGGCACUACUGUUGCGCCUUGAACAGCUAGGGUUCGUUAUGGAUGGGGAGUUAAGUUAAAAUUUGAUCUUGUAGUCACUCCCUGACACCUCACAAUUUGUUGUGAAUUUUUACAUGAAUAAGUUAGACGUCAGCUUGCCUGAGUUACUUAACGUUAAUGUUGAAAAAUGUUGAAGGUCACUUCCCAUCCAAAAAGGACCAAGUAUUCUUUCAAGGAAAGGAAGAGGUCCAAGGUAUCUUCUGAAAAGAAGAAAUCCAAUAAGGCUAAAGGCAAUGCGAAAGUGAAGGAUCAGAAAAAACUUGAUCCGGCUAACAAAGGAAUAUACUUCCAUUGCAAUAAGCCGGAUCACUGGAAGAGAAACUGCAAAGAGUUUCUUGCGGAACAAAAGCAGAAAAAACUUGGAAAAGCUUCGACUCCUAAUCAAGGUUUGUUUAUGAUUGAAAUUAAUUUUUCUGAAAGUCAAAAUUCUACUUGGGUAUUGGAUACCGGCUGUGGUUCUCACAUAUGUAAUACUAUGCAAGGGCUGGUCAUAAGUAGAAAGCUCCUACGAGUGGGAAUAGAGCAAAGGUUGAUGUAUUAGUUGUAGGGACUUAUUGUUUAGCACUGCCUAUGGACAAAUCCAUUAGUUUAAAUAACUGUUAUUUUAUUCCAACACUCAUUAGAAACAUUAUUUCAAUUUCUAUAUUGGAUAUGGAUAUGGUUUUGAUAUUAUUAAAAAACAAUAGUUGUUCCAUUUAUAAUAAAAAUAUUUUAUAUGGUAUAGGUAAAUUGCUGAAUGGACUUUACAUACUUGACUUGUAUGAAAAUAUACUUCAAAUUGAACAAACUAAGAAAAGGAAAAGAGGUGAUGUUAAUUAUACCUAUAUGUGGCACUGUAGAUUUAGUAAUAUUAACGAAACAAGAUUAUCCAAGUUGCAUAAAGAUGAGCUCUUAAGAGCUAUCUAAUUAUGAAUCAUAUCCAACUUGUGAAUCUUGUCUCAUAGGUAAGAUGACUAAAUCUCCUUUUAGUGAAAAAGGAGAAAGAGUUACAAGAGUUGUUAGCAUUGGUACACACAGACGUAUGUGGACCUAUGACGACUGUAGGAGGAAUUUAUUCUUAUUUUAUUACGUUCACUAAUGAUCACUCAAGAUUUGGAUUGUAUUUAAUGAAAUACAAAUCUGAAUAAUUUUUGAAAAGUUCAAAGAGUUCAGAAGUGAAGUAGAGAAGCAAACUGGCAAGAGUAUUAAAAUUCUUCGAUUGGAUCGAGGUGAAUACUUAAGCAGUGAGUUUCUCAAUUGUCUUAAAGAAAGUGGUAUAAUCUCACAAUGGACUCCACCAAAGACACCAUAGUUAAACGAUGUAUCUGAAAGGAGAUAUCAAACAUUGUUGGACAUGGUUCUUUCAAUGAUGAGUUUUACCAAUCUUUCAGUUUUCUUUUGGAGUUAUGCCCUUGAAGCAGCUGCAUAUCUACUAAACAAUGUUAUAAAAGGCGCUAGGCGGGAGGCGAGCGGCCGAGGGGAGGCGAGCGGCCGAGGGGGGCCUAGCGCCUAGGGGGCCUAGGCGGGAUUUUUUAUUUUAAGUCAAUUUUAAUAUUUUAUCUUACAUUUAUCCAAACAAAAUAAUAAUAUAAAGCAAAACAAUAUAUAAUAAAGAUAAUAAAGGCCUUUUCUUAAAGUUCAAACACAUCCAUAUUGUUAAUGUCAAAGUUCAAACACAAACAUGCAAUUGUUCAAAGUUUAAACAUAUUUUUAACGUAUUAGUUUUAUUUAUAAACAUGAUUGCAAUUAAAUAAUAAAAUUUUAAAUUUUAAGAAUUUAAUUCAAUAUUAAAACUUAAGAAACUAAACAUAAAUUUAAGAAUUAUAAAAUUGAAUUUAACUAAAUAUUACAAAUGUAUCAUCAUUUAUAUAAUUUGAAGUUGGUACAAGUUUAAAAAAUUACAACUAUAAUAAAAUUAUCCAUUUUGACUUGAUAUUGUUCACUUCUUAUUGUGAUUUGAUAUGCUACAACCUGUAUUAUGAAUAUGAUAAAUCAUUAGAAAAAUAAAUAUAUCAAGAUUUGGUUUAGGUAGUUAUUAAAAUAAAAAAAAUCUACCCGCCUAAUUUCUUGGAGGAAUUUUUUUACCGCCUUGGGCCUAGGUGAGGCGCCUGGGAGGCCUAGAGGCGCCAAGGGGCGCCUAGCGCCUAGGCGGGGCACCAAGGGGCGCCUAGGCGGACCUAGGCGGGGAUUUUUAGAACAGUGACAAUUAGUUAUAUGGGUGGUGUUGUUUGGGCUAUCAAAGUUUGCAGAUUCUAGAAUUCUACUAUAUUCAUGCAUACAGUGUUAGCAUUUUCAUCUGUUUAAGAAAUUAGCUUAUUAUAGUUACUUCUAGUAUAAUCAUCGCGUUCAAAACACUUUCAAGGCCCCAAAAAAAAGGGUGUAUCCCUUUACUUUUGAGUUGGUAUCGGGGGAUUCAUGCCAUUUUAAAUAAAAAUAAUAAUAUUCAAAUACCCAGGAGCAACACAACUCCCUGACGCUUGAUUGAACAACAGCCCAGACAAGUACCUGCUGUCAUGUAUUUGUUGUCCAAGCAUGUCCAGGAAGAUCUGCAGUUCUUGUUUUUCCUUCUGUGAUUUCUCAAUCUGUAACAAUUUUUCCCCAACAUAAACUACCAAAAUGAGCUCAGUGCCACAUUAGUAUGAUUAUAGGGAAGGAAAAAAAGGAUGCAUAUAUGAAAAAACUAGCAAAACCAGAGUGAACUAGUGUAAGAAACUUACAAGUUCCUUUAGAGACUUGAUAUCUGCCACUUGCUCAGCACAUUUAUCUACCAAAAUCUUCUGUUCACUAGUCUACCAGAAAGGAAUAGAUACGUUAAUCUCAGAAGACAGCCGGAACUGAAGCAGCAUACAACAAUCAAACAGUUCAAUAUUCGGUAGCAAAUCUCAACAUAUUUUGGAUGUGUUUUGCAAUUAACAACUUCAUCUUAGAUUUCUCUUGAGUUUUGCAAACUAGGAUGUCUGAUUGUUUUGGUAAUUGUUCAUAGUAUUCCAUAACUACUAAUUUACAUAGUUGUCACGGCGACGCCUAGGCGUCUAGGCGAUGGAGAAAUGGCACAGUGAGAGGUCGACUUGAGAUGGAGAUGCUAAGGCGUGCGCCUUGGCAGCUCGGCAAAGCCGUGGGACGCCUUAGCAGCUCUGGCCCAACUUAAAUGUUUACCUCAUCUACUCUCUGACCCAUGAACAUAAUACCAUGGCCCAUCAAUUUAAAAAAAUGAGAAAGGGAGAAAGGCUCUUAUGUUUUGGGUUUUAAUGUAUAUGAAAUUUUAUUGCCAAUAUACUUGUUAAGUAAUAUAAAUAAUAUAUAAAUUACACAUUGUAAACAACUUGUCGUCAUAUGGACGCCAUGGAGUUCGCCUUGUCGCCUAGGCGUCCAGGCAGUCGGCUACCGCCAUGAUUCGCCGUGGUGCCAUGACAACUAUGCUAAUUUAUACUUGCGGUCAUAGAGAACACCAUAUAAUGAAAGGAAGACGGAACCUUUCUGCUCAAUAAAUCUUUUAGUGACUGGGUUUCUUCACGUAGGGAAACAGCUUCAUGGGCUGUCUCCUUCCACCGAUUCAACUGAGCUUCCAUCAAUCCCAUCUCUUUAGACAAAGCAGAUGCCAUCACCUGAAACUCUGCUUUAAUAUCUUUUCUUCCUGGAGGAACUACCAUUCUUCAGAAACAAACUUACUGAGUUCCACUAAAUAAAAAAACUCAAUGGGUAAGCAAUUCAACCUGAAUCUUGCACAGCUUCUUCCAUCUUAAUUUCUAACUCAUUAUUCUCAGUGACACACUUCUGCAAUUGCUGUUCAAGUUCUUCAAUUUUAGAGUCAGCAUUAUUAAUGCCACUCUUCACAACAUCUACUGAAUCUGCUUUUACGUUCAACUCUUUCUCCCUUCGCAUAACGGAAGACCUGUCAGCCUGGAAUUGAACUUUUAAGAAAUAUAACAUAGCUAAAGCAGCAAUUAAAAAUUUUUAUAUAGCAACGCAGCUUCACCUGCAGAGUAUCUGUCAACGUUUUGUACCGAUCUAAUUCAGCAGACCAGUGUUGGAGCUGAUCGUUCAGUAAAGUAUACGAACGUGAUGAGUGAACAUAAUUAUCAUCCUUCAGUUCAUUCUAAAAAAAGCACCAAACACAAGUUAGAUUAACGCUUAACAAAACUAAACAACUUCGCCAAUUUUUCUGCCAAAAUGAUGGUAUCACAUACAAAGACGAGAAAUCCAUAAACACCACCUGAAGAUCUUGCAAUUGUUUUGACAAGAUUAGAUUGUCCUCCUGUGCAUCUUGUAGCUCAGCAAGACGAUCAGCUGCCAAUAUCUACAUAAACUCGAAUAAUAUUAGAGAGAGAGUGUGAUAGAGAGUGAAUCAACUACAUCUACAAGAUACCUUAGUUUCCUCGAUAGAAUCUUUCAACUCCCGCAAACCCAUUGUCUUGUCUGCAUUUUUUUCAGGUGACAAGGUUCCAUUUACUGCCCCUGACACUGGAGUUUGCACACCAGAUGCCACAUCCGUCUGCAUUUUAAGAUUGACCAGUUUUCUUCUACUUUCUUCAAGUUCAGUCAUGCUUUCUUCCAGAUCACCUUUUAAGCAUAGGCAAAU